GACUUUUAACUCUACCUUGACUAGGUGUAGUCAAGGCUAUGUUAGGGGGCAUCAAGGAGUGGAAUACUGGUGCUAGGAUGGACAUCCAAUUGACAGCACAUUCCAACCAGUAGGGGAUCAAGAUGCCUCCUUGAAUGGCCAACUUGGACAGAUAGUGCGUAACGGCACCACAUUCGCCUCACAUAUGGUAAUUGUAACUCGGCGGGUUAUUGUAGCAAUAAUUCAGCAGUAGUGGUUUAUUAGUGAAAAUUAAUUUCUAAAAAUUUAAAUAUCACUUUAAAUGUUUAGCUAAUAUUAUAAACGUGGAACUAAUGUUACAGAAGAUAUCGUCUCAAAACUCCUGCAAUUGGGAGCUUCGUGGCCCACCUCUUACGAUGGGGCAGACACAUUUCUCGCAAAUACAACAUCAAGUAUUGUGUUUUUCUUCUUUUUUAAUUUUUCCACCAUCGUAUUUUUUUUGCGUCGUUGUGUACUUGUGUUUUUAAAAUGUAGGACGGGUAUAAUUGGCAACUCUUUGAUGAGCCCGAGUCCCUCCAAGUGACACAACUUGGGUAUUUUCAGACAUAUGGGGGGGAUGCGCCUGAGCGUGCGGUGUACAGACAUGGUGUGGGCCCAUCACUUGCAUCUCAAGCCUUAAUGAUGGCCGAGAUCACUCAACAAGUUUGGGAGAAUUUAACGCAGGAGCAAGCCUCAAUGAUUGUCCAAAACACACAACAAAUGUGUGAGAAGCUCAAAAGGGAGCUCAGGGCUGAACUCAUUACACAUAUCGAGCAAAUGACGAAUUAAUUUCAAGUGAAGAAGGGAGUUCAGAUGCCUUCUAGGUUCUGGAUGUGUCUGAGUGGCCACUGUGCAUUUAGGGAGUGUAUAGAACAUAGGACCCUACUGUUGCAGCCUACUUCUACACCGCUACCACUUUAUACACUACGCGAUGAGCGAGUAUCUUCUUUACAUAAACACAUGCAUAUAUCUAUAUUAUCACACAAACGAUUUAGGUUAAAAGUGAGCCUAUUAAAAAACCUUUAGUGGUGUUGAGAAGCUAAGAUUGAUCUUACUGAAAAUUUCAGAUAUUUUGGUCCAUUUGUUGAAUGGUUUGGUUGUAGAGGUUACUCAGAACCUAA